CAGGUUUCCAGGAAAGAGAAGCACAGAGUGGAAAAGGCUGUUGUAAGUAGAAGGAAGAUUUCAGCUGAAAGUCGAAGAAAGCCAAAGAUAGAAGGAGAAAUACCGUGAGAAAAAAUAAACCUGUAGUUUUCAAGCCAAGUGCGAUACAAGAGGCUAUAAACAUUCUCUUUCCCACCUGCCCGUCAUCUCUUAGGCCACAGAGCCAUACCCUUCAGCUGUACCAGCAUAAAGCUUACCAACCCCAGAGACAACCACCUCCUCAUCCACUAUUACUGCUUCCUCUGAUAUUUCAGGAUCACAGAAUCACAGAAUGGCCUGGUGGAAGGGACCUCAAGGAUCAUGAAUCUCCAACCCCCCUGCCGGGCAGGGCCACCAACCUCCCCAUUUACUAAACCAGGCUGCCCAGGGCCACUUCUCCCCAGUAUCCUUUCAAGAACUAAUGAGUUUUCUCAGAUAUACUGUACUAUGCUUCAAAGUCACUUUAUCAUGACAAAUUACUUCUGGACUGUAACUUCUUUGACUUCAG
ensembl:lncRNA